rnacentral:lncRNA from 10 species
CGAACAGAGGGGACCAUCUGGUGGAGGUCAGCCAGCUUCUCCCCAGGAUGCGAUGGACCCACGAUGCCAGUGGCCAUGGUGGGAGGGCUGGAGGCUCUGUAUAAGCCCAACGGCAAGGGCUUCCUCUUACCACGGCUCAUCUAGACACUGCCGCUAGUGAAUGUUCUUCCAUCCACCAGCUGCAGAGACCGAUGCUGAGCCCUCAAUAUGACGCCAUUCCUCAAGACUAGCCAGCCAUUGGGUGGCAGGUUGCAACCUGCACACCAGCCCUUGUCUCAAGUUCUGCUUUCUGGGAGAAGCCCUGGAUAAGAAACUCGCCUCUCUUCUCCACAUUCUGGGCAGGCCCGCCAUUCUUGAUUUCUCUUCUAACGAGGAGCCAGGGAGGAAAGGAAGGGCUCCGAUUCAACAGCCCCGUGUGGCUGGGGGUUCCCUCACUUGCCCAAACCUGGAAAUGAAGCAUGUAGCAAUUUCUCCAAGUGAUCUCCUGCAGCCGGGGCAGCCUCUGGGAACGCAGACUUCCACCCGCUGCUGCUUUCCAGGUGUCCGUUUCAAAGACAGCAGGGAAUGGCUGAGUUGAAGGAGGGAUGCAGUCAUUUAAGGCGAAGCCCGAGGAAGGAGCAGAGGCGUGAGGGCUGCUGCGUCCAAGACCGGGGAGAGGGGCUGAAAUCGCGGACUCUCUCUGGGGGACCCAGGAGACUGCUCCUCCUGGCAGGACCCCUCUCUCCCAGAGCGGCAUCGCGCAGACAACGCGCCUGGUGCCCGCCCCUCAGGACCGGACGCCGGGUGUCGUGGGGUGCCUAGGACCCCCGCCCGCUUCCGUCGAGCGCCCGCCCCCGGCUUCCCGCGCCGGCUCCAGCGCCCCCGCCGCUCCCUCCCGCAGCCGGCCCCGCUCCCCUCCCCGCCCCUCCCGGCGCGCGUGCGCCCCGUGCCCGCGCCCCUCCC